CGUGUAGGCGGAGAUGCAAGUCGGGAGUGAAAUCCAUGGGCUCAACCCAUGAACUGCUUUCGAAACUGUAUCCCUUGAGUAUCGGAGAGGCAAGCGGAAUUCCUAGUGUAGCGGUGAAAUGCGUAGAUAUUAGGAGGAACACCAGUGGCGAAGGCGGCUUGCUGGACGACAACUGACGCUGAGGCGCGAAAGCGUGGGGAGCAAACA
rnacentral:rRNA from 1 species